rnacentral:sRNA from 1 species
GCGGAGGAUCAUUAUCAGAAAAUUUCAUUAUUUUUUGAAAUAUUUUUCCAAUUUCCCCCUGUGUAUUGUACUCCAUGUUGCUUCCACUAGACUGGUAUUUAAAAUAUACCCUUCAACCCACUAAUACUUUGGAGGAUUGAAGUAAUGCCGGUGGAUAGCCUUAAACUAAAUGAAGUUUUUUUGUUUUAAAUAAUAGUCUGAUAAAAGUUAAAAAAAAAUAAUAAUAAAAACUUUCAACAACGGAUCUCUAGGCUCUUGCAUCGAUGAAGAACGCAGUGAAAUGUGAUAAGUAAUGUGAAUUGCAGAAUCUCGUGAAUCAUCGAAUCUUUGAACGCACAUUGCGCCCAAUGGUAUUCCACUGGGCAUACCUGUUUGAGUGUCAGAAUCCUUCUAAUAAUCAAACUUUUAUAUAUUCAUAUAAAGAUGUUUGGAUGUUAAUUGAGAAGAGUAGUAUUUUGUUAAUAAUACUACUUUCUUAAAAACCAGAAAUAUUUUGUUUUGGUUUUCUUCCCAACUCAUUUUAUAUUUAAUAUAGUAAAUGAGUGUGACUUUAACAAGGAACAAUAACACUUUUGGAUGACCUCAAAUCAGGUAGGGAUACCCGCUGAACUUAAGCAUAUCAAUA